AAGCCACAGAAUCAGCACGCUGGGUUGUCUGAAGAGAACUGUCACUUUGUGAUCUGCGUAUAGGGGAGAGUGGAGCUAACAGCAGCGGCUCCUUGAAAGCCAUGGGGGUCGAUUAUGGUCCCAGAUCCCAGAGAGCCACAUGGGUCACUGCUCUUCCACCUCUCGCCCUCGGCUGGGGCCUCCAGGCGGCCACUGCUCCUGUGUAACACGCACACAAGGUGGCCGUGGGAGCUCCUCCCUGACGUGACUGGUGGCUUUGGAAG